UACGUAGGGUGCAAGCGUUAAUCGGAAAUACUGGGCGUAAAGCGUGCGCAGGCGGUUCUAUAAGACAGAUGUGAAAUCCCCGGGCUCAACCUGGGAACUGCAUUUGUGACUGUAGAGCUGGAGUACGGCAGAGGGGGAUGGAAUUCCGCGUGUAGCAGUGAAAUGCGUAGAUAUGCGGAGGAACACCGAUGGCGAAGGCAAUCCCCUGGGCCUGUACUGACGCUCAUGCACGAAAGCGUGGGGAGCAAACAGG
rnacentral:rRNA from 1 species